rnacentral:tRNA from 1 species
GGCUUCAUAGCUCAGUUGGUUAGAGCGUUGCACUGGUAUCGCAAGGUCACAGGUUCAAACCCCGUUGGAGUCC